rnacentral:lncRNA from 1 species
UAUUUUUAAAAGAAGGUCCAACUAAUGAAAGUGGCUUGCUUGUUAUGCACGAAUUGGAUUAAGAAAUUACAAAAUUCUAAGAAAUUAUACUUUAAAUUCUAAAAACUAUAAUUUAAUAAAAUUUAUAUAAGAGAAUUUAUAAUUGAAUAAAAUAUUUUUUUGAUUAAAAAAAGUUCGGUUCGAUUUGGUUUUUUGCGAUUUUUGAAAAUUG